ensembl:lncRNA
CGGGAAAUCUCCAGCAGGGAAUCUCCACCCGGAAAUCUCCACCAGAAUCUCCACUGGGAAAUCUCCACCAGGAAAUCACCAGGAAAUGUCCAUUGGGAAAUGUCCAUUGGGAAAUGCCCAUUGGGAAAUCUCCAGCAGGGAAUCUCCACCAGGAAAUGUCCACCAGAAUCUCCACUGGGAAAUUUCCACCAGGAAAUGUCCAUUGGGAAAUCUCCACCAGGGAAUCUCCACCGGGGAAUCUCCACCAGAAUCUCCACUGGGAAAUUUCCACCAGGAAAUGUCCAUUGGGAAAUCUCCACCAGGGAAUCUCCACCGGGGAAUCUCCACCAGAAUCUCCACUGGGAAAUUUCCACCAGAAAAUCACCAGGAAAUGUCCAUUGGAAAAUGCCCAUUGGGAAAUCUCCAGCAGGGAAUCUCCACCAGGAAAUGUCCACCAGAAUCUCCACUGGGAAAUUUCCACCAGGAAAUGUCCAUUGGGAAAUCUCCACCAGGGAAUCUCCACCGGGGAAUCUCCACCAGAAUCUCCACUGGGGAAUCUCCACCAGGGAUUUGUGUCUCUUUGUGUCUCUGGAGAAGCCAAACUCCCCGUGCAAGAGCUCAGGUUCCCCAACAGGGCUCGUGUUUUAGGAACUCAAUCCAUGGAGGGGCCAAAACCCCCCUCUGGGGCAGAACUGGAGCGACAGGAGCGGGGCUGGAAUCGUCACUGGGACACAGAAACCCAAAAUACCGGCGGGAGGGGCAGGCGCACCCUGGCAUGGGAAGGAGGGAAUUCCGGGGGAAUUCUGGCUGGAUUCUGGGGAAUGAGGAUAAAAGCCCCGCUGGAAANCCGGGGCCCCUCCUGUCCCUCAGUUCCUCAUUGCCUAACGAGGCUGAUUUAGAUUAUCUCGCUAAUGAGUCAUUAGAUUCUCGAGCUCGGGGCUCGUUAAGGAACCUUUGUCCCGCCCCCCCCCCCCCCCCCCCCCCCCCCCCUUUGUCCCGCCUCUUCCUUCCGGAAACCCGGGCCGCUUUUGGUGAGAACACCCAGAAUCUGGGGACAAACCCAUUUUCCAAAGUAUUCAUCUAUAAAAUAAUUAAGAAACUGAGGUUAAUUAGCCUCGAGCAGCCCCAGGUUUAAUUUCUAUUUGGUCCAGCUCCUCCCUGCUCUAAACUCUUUUCUCCCCCCAUGCUCUGUCCAGUUUUUAUUUAUUUUGGGGGUUUUUCCUCCCCAAACCCAUCCCGGGACGAAGCCGUUUGUGAUUAAUUAACCCCAGGGAACGUGAUUAAUUAACCCCAGCACGAGAGACUUUUGCUGGGGACGUGGCUCUGUGUCCCCUCCUGUCCCUCAAACCCUCCCCAGCUGCUGCUCAGGCAAACAGCUCGAAGGGAAUCCAGCCCAGAGCGGCUCAUUUUGGGCGGCUCUCAGUGGUCCUGGGGCGUUUCCAGCGUGGCGUGGGUUGGGACAACGUGGAUGCACUUUUUUUUCCUGGAUUUCACCCCAAUUUUCCUUGGGUUUCACCCCAAUCAGUGAUUUAAAGCUGGAGCUGUUUGUGCCCCGCCAGGAAUUGCGAAACUGUCGCUGCUGGAGUUGUUUUGAAAUAACCAAAAUCAGCCAAAAUUUUUUUCCCCCCCCCCCCCAGUUUUGGUCCUUUUCUCGCCCAGAUUUUUCCCUUCCACAACCCAGGGCUGGAUUUUGGGGUGUUCCAGUUUUAAUUCCCCCCAUUCAUCCCCCUCUGCUCCAGUCCUGGAAAAGCUCCUUUAAUUUGUCAGAUUUUGGGGGGUUUUUUUACCAUGAAAAUGUGAUUUUCUUUUUAUCACCCCUCUCCUCCUUCCCCUCUCCCCUCCCUCCUGCACCUCUCACACCACACUUGCAACAAACCCCUAAAACUAUCCCCAAAAUUAUUGUCAUUAUCACUGAAAUUAUCCCAAAUAUCGCUUUAUCCCUGAAACGUUUUUUUUUUCCCCCCCAAUCUCAUCUCCUGCAGAUCGGCCCCCCCCCCCCCCCCCCCCCCCCCCCCCCCCCCCCCCCCCCCCCCCCCCCCCCCCCCCCCCCCCCCCCCCCCCCCCCCCCCCCCCCCCCCCCCCCCCCCCCCCCCCCCCC